UGUACGGCCCGCCCAUAGCUCCUUCGACGGCGCCGCCUAGGAACGCGGAGAAAAUAUGACAAAGGAACGGCCAAAAAUAAAAAGAAAGACCUUUCUUUUGAAAAAACAAACAAAAAAAAGAAAUGCAACACGAGGACUUCCCAGGAGGUCACCCAUCCUAGUACUACUCUCGCCCAAGCAUGCUUAACUUCGGAGUUCUGAUGGGAUCCGGUGCUUUAGUGUUGGUAUGAUCGCAUCCGACAUACCGUGCGUUCUCCUCCCCUUUAUGCCCGCGCCUCCGUGUACGGCCCGCCCAUAGCUCCUUCGACGGCGCCGCCUAGGAACGCGGAGAAAAUAUGACAAAGGAACGGCCAAAAAUAAAAAGAAAGACCUUUCUUUUGAAAAAACAAACAAAAAAAAGGAAUGCAACACGAGGACUUCCCAGGAGGUCACCCAUCCUAGUACUACUCUCGCCCAAGCACGCUUAACUUCGGAGUUCUGAUGGGAUCCGGUGCUUUAGUGCUGGUAUGAUCGCAUCCGACAUACCGUGCGUUCUCCUCCCCUUUAUGCCCGCGCCUCCGUGUACGGCCCGCCCAUAGCUCCUUCGACGGCGCCGCCUAGGAACGCGGAGAAAAUAUGACAAAGGAACGGCCAAAAAUAAAAAGAAAGACCUUUCUUUUGAAAAAACAAACAAAAAAAAGGAAUGCAACACGAGGACUUCCCAGGAGGUCACCCAUCCUAGUACUACUCUCGCCCAAGCACGCUUAACUUCGGAGUUCUGAUGGGAUCCGGUGCUUUAGUGCUGGUAUGAUCGCAUCCGACAUACCGUGCGUUCUCCUCCCCUUUAUGCCCGCGCCUCCGUGUACGGCCCGCCCAUAGCUCCUUCGACGGCGCCGCCUAGGAACGCGGAGAAAAUAUGACAAAGGAACGGCCAAAAAUAAAAAGAAAGACCUUUCUUUUGAAAAAACAAACAAAUAAAAGGAAUGCAACACGAGGACUUCCCAGGAGGUCACCCAUCCUAGUACUACUCUCGCCCAAGCACGCUUAACUUCAGAGUUCUGAUGGGAUCCGGUGCUUUAGUGCUGGUAUGAUCGCAUCCGACAUACCGUGCGUUCUCCUCCCCUUUAUGCCCGCGCCUCCGUGUACGGCCCGCCCAUAGCUCCUUCGACGGCGCCGCCUAGGAACGCGGAGAAAAUAUGACAAAGGAACGGCCAAAAAUAAAAAGAAAGACCUUUCUUUUGAAAAAACAAACAAAUAAAAGGAAUGCAACACGAGGACUUCCCAGGAGGUCACCCAUCCUAGUACUACUCUCGCCCAAGCACGCUUAACUUCGGAGUUCUGAUGAGAUCCGGUGCUUUAGUGCUGGUAUGAUCGCAUUCGACAUACCGUGCGUUCUCCUCCCCUUUAUGCCCGCGCCUCCAUGUACGGCCCGCCCAUAGCUCCUUCGACGGCGCCGCCUAGGAACGCGGAGAAAAUAUGACAAAGGAACGGCCACGAAUAAAAAGAGAGACCUUUCUUUUGAAAAAACAAACGCCUCCGUGUACGGCCCGCCCAUAGCUCCUUCGACGGCGCCGCCUAGGAACGCGGAGAAAAUAUGACAAAGGAACGGCCAAAAAUAAAAAGAAAGACCUUUCUUUUGAAAAAACAAACAAAAAAAAGGAAUGCAACACGAGGACUUCCCAGGAGGUCACCCAUCCUAGUACUACUCUCGCCCAAGCACGCUUAACUUCGGAGUUCUGAUGGGAUCCGGUGCUUUAGUGCUGGUAUGAUCGCAUCCGACAUACCGUGCGUUCUCCUCCCCUUUAUGCCCGCGCCUCCGUGUACGGCCCGCCCAUAGCUCCUUCGACGGCGCCGCCUAGGAACGCGGAGAAAAUAUGACAAAGGAACGGCCAAAAAUAAAAAGAAAGACCUUUCUUUUGAAAAAACAAACAAAUAAAAGGAAUGCAACACGAGGACUUCCCAGGAGGUCACCCAUCCUAGUACUACUCUCGCCCAAGCACGCUUAACUUCGGAGUUCUGAUGGGAUCCGGUGCUUUAGUGCUGGUAUGAUCGCAUCCGACAUACCGUGCGUUCUCCUCCCCUUUAUGCCCGCGCCUCCGUGUACGGCCCGCCCAUAGCUCCUUCGACGGCGCCGCCUAGGAACGCGGAGAAAAUAUGACAAAGGAACGGCCAAAAAUAAAAAGAAAGACCUUUCUUUUGAAAAAACAAACAAAAAAAAGGAAUGCAACACGAGGACUUCCCAGGAGGUCACCCAUCCUAGUACUACUCUCGCCCAAGCACGCUUAACUUCGGAGUUCUGAUGGGAUCCGGUGCUUUAAUGCUGGUAUGAUCGCAUCCGACAUACCGUGCGUUCUCCUCCCCUUUAUGCCCGCGCCUCCGUGUACGGCCCGCCCAUAGCUCCUUCGACGGCGCCGCCUAGGAACGCGGAGAAAAUAUGACAAAGGAACGGCCAAAAAUAAAAAGAAAGACCUUUCUUUUGAAAAAACAAACAAAAAAAAGGAAUGCAACACGAGGACUUCCCAGGAGGUCACCCAUCCUAGUACUACUUUCGCCCAAGCACGCUUAACUUCGGAGUUCCGAUGGGAUCCGGUGCUUUAGUCCUGGUAUGAUCGCAUCCGACAUACCGUGCGUUCUCCUCCCCUUGAGGCCCGCGCCUCCGUGUACGGCCCGCCCAUAGCUCCUUCGACGGCGCCGCCUAGGAACGCGGAGAAAAUAUGACAAAGGAACGGCCCACAACUAGAAAGAAAGACCUUUCUUUUGAAAAGACAGACAAACAAAAGGAAUGCAACACGAGGACUUCCCAGGAGGUCACCCAUCCUAGUACUACUCUCGCCCAAGCACGCUUAACUUCGGAGUUCUGAUGGGAUCCGGUGCUUUAGUGCUGGUAUGAUCGCAUCCGACAUACCGUGCGUUCUCCUCCCCUUUAUGCCCGCGCCUCCGUGUACGGCCCGCCCAUAGCUCCUUCGACGGCGCCGCCUAGGAACGCGGAGAAAAUAUGACAAAGGAACGGCCAAAAAUAAAAAGAAAGACCUUUCUUUUGAAAAAACAAACAAAUAAAAGGAAUGCAACACGAGGACUUCCCAGGAGGUCACCCAUCCUAGUACUACUCUCGCCCAAGCACGCUUAACUUCGGAGUUCUGAUGGGAUCCGGUGCUUUAGUGCUGGUAUGAUCGCAUCCGACAUACCGUGCGUUCUCCUCCCCUUUAUGCCCGCGCCUCCGUGUACGGCCCGCCCAUAGCUCCUUCGACGGCGCCGCCUAGGAACGCGGAGAAAAUAUGACAAAGGAACGGCCAAAAAUAAAAAGAAAGACCUUUCAUUUUGAAAAAACAAACAAAAAAAAGGAAUGCAACACGAGGACUUCCCAGGAGGUCACCCAUCCUAGUACUACUCUCGCCCAAGCACGCUUAACUUCGGAGUUCUGAUGGGAUCCGGUGCUUUAGUGCUGGUAUGAUCGCAUCCGACAUACCGUGCGUUCUCCUCCCCUUUAUGCCCGCGCCUCCGUGUACGGCCCGCCCAUAGCUCCUUCGACGGCAGCCGCCUAGGAACGCGGAGAAUAUAUGACAAAGGAACGGCCAAAAAUAAAAAGAAAGACCUUUCUUAUGAAAAAACAGACAUACCCAAGGAAUGCAACACGAGGACUUCCCAGGUGCCCAAGCACGCUUAACUUCGGAGUUCUGAUGGGAUCCGGUGCUUUAGUGCUGGUAUGAUCGCAUCCGACAUACCGUGCGUUCUCCUCCCCUUUAUGCCCGCGCCUCCGUGUACGGCCCGCCCAUAGCUCCUUCGACGGCGCCGCCUAGGAACGCGGAGAAAAUAUGACAAAGGAACGGCCAAAAAUAAAAAGAAAGACACUUUCUUUUGAAAAAACAAACAAAAAAAAGGAAUGCAACACGAGGACUUCCCAGGAGGUCACCCAUCCUAGUACUACUCUCGCCCAAGCACGCUUAACUUCGGAGUUCUGAUGGGAUCCGGUGCUUUAGUGCUGGUAUGAUCGCAUCCGACAUACCGUGCGUUCUCCUCCCCUUUAUGCCCGCGCCUCCGUGUACGGCCCGCCCAUAGCUCCUUCGACGGCGCCGCCUAGGAACGCGGAGAAAAUAUGACAAAGGAACGGCCAAAAACAAAAAGAAAGACCUUUCUUUUGAAAAAACAAACGCCUCCGUGUACGGCCCGCCCAUAGCUCCUUCGACGGCGCCGCCUAGGAACGCGGAGAAAAUAUGACAAAGGAACGGCCAAAAAUAAAAAGAAAGACCUUUCUUUUGAAAAAACAAACAAAAAAAAGGAAUGCAACACGAGGACUUCCCAGGAGGUCACCCAUCCUAGUACUACUCUCGCCCAAGCACGCUUAACUUCGGAGUUCUGAUGGGAUCCGGUGCUUUAGUGCUGGUAUGAUCGCAUCCGACAUACCGUGCGUUCUCCUCCCCUUUAUGCCCGCGCCUCCGUGUACGGCCCGCCCAUAGCUCCUUCGACGGCGCCGCCUAGGAACGCGGAGAAAAUAUGACAAAGGAACGGCCAAAAAUAAAAAGAAAGACCUUUCUUUUGAAAAAACAAACGCCUCCGUGUACGGCCCGCCCAUAGCUCCUUCGACGGCGCCGCCUAGGAACGCGGAGAAAAUAUGACAAAGGAACGGCCAAAAAUAAAAAGAAAGACCUUUCUUUUGAAAAAACAAACAAAAAAAAGGAAUGCAACACGAGGACUUCCCAGGAGGUCACCCAUCCUAGUACUACUCUCGCCCAAGCACGCUUAACUUCGGAGUUCUGAUGGGAUCCGGUGCUUUAGUGCUGGUAUGAUCGCAUCCGACAUACCGUGCGUUCUCCUCCCCUUUAUGCCCGCGCCUCCGUGUACGGCCCGCCCAUAGCUCCUUCGACGGCGCCGCCUAGGAACGCGGAGAAAAUAUGACAAAGGAACGGCCAAAAAUAAAAAGAAAGACCUUUCUUUUGAAAAAACAAACGCCUCCGUGUACGGCCCGCCCAUAGCUCCUUCGACGGCGCCGCCUAGGAACGCGGAGAAAAUAUGACAAAGGAACGGCCAAAAAUAAAAAGAAAGACCUUUCUUUUGAAAAAACAAACAAAAAAAAGGAAUGCAACACGAGGACUUCCCAGGAGGUCACCCAUCCUAGUACUACUCUCGCCCAAGCACGCUUAACUUCGGAGUUCUGAUGGGAUCCGGUGCUUUAGUGCUGGUAUGAUCGCAUCCGACAUACCGUGCGUUCUCCUCCCCUUUAUGCCCGCGCCUCCGUGUACGGCCCGCCCAUAGCUCCUUCGACGGCGCCGCCUAGGAACGCGGAGAAAAUAUGACAAAGGAACGGCCAAAAAUAAAAAGAAAGACCUUUCUUUUGAAAAAACAAACAAAUAAAAGGAAUGCAACACGAGGAGUUCCCAGGAGGUCACCCAUCCUAGUACUACUCUCGCCCAAGCACGCUUAACUUCGGAGUUCUGAUGGGAUCCGGUGCUUUAGUGCUGGUAUGAUCGCAUCCGACAUACCGUGCGUUCUCCUCCCCUUUAUGCCCGCGCCUCCGUGUACGGCCCGCCCAUAGCUCCUUCGACGGCGCCGCCUAGGAACGCGGAGAAAAUAUGACAAAGGAACGGCCAAAAAUAAAAAGAAAGACCUUUCUUUUGAAAAAACAAACAAAAAAAAGAAAUGCAACACGAGGACUUCCCAGGAGGUCACCCAUCCUAGUACUACUCUCGCCCAAGCACGCUUAACUUCGGAGUUCUGAUGGGAUCCGGUGCUUUAGUGCUGGUAUGAUCGCAUCCGACAUACCGUGCGUUCUCCUCCCCUUUAUGCCCGCGCCUCCGUGUACGGCCCGCCCAUAGCUCCUUCGACGGCGCCGCCUAGGAACGCGGAGAAAAUAUGACAAAGGAACGGCCAAAAAUAAAAAGAAAGACCUUUCUUUGAAAAAACAAACAAUUCACAGGAAUGCAACACGAGGACUUCCCACGAGGUCACCCAUCCUAGUACUACUCUCGCCCAAGCACGCUUAACUUCGGAGUUCUGAUGGGAUCCGGUGCUUUAGUGCUGGUAUGAUCGCAUCCGACAUACCGUGCGUUCUCCUCCCCUUUAUGCCCGCGCCUCCGUGUACGGCCCGCCCAUAGCUCCUUCGACGGCGCCGCCUAGGAACGCGGAGAAAAUAUGACAAAGGAACGGCCAAAAAUAAAAAGAAAGACCUUUCUUUUGAAAAAACAAACCAAAAAAAAGGAAUGCAACACGAGGACUUCCCAAGAGGUCACCCAUCCUAGUACUACUCUCGCCCAAGCACGCUUAACUUCGGAGUUCUGAUGGGAUCCGGUGCUUUAGUGCUGGUAUGAUCGCAUCCGACAUACCGUGCGUUCUCCUCCCCAUUAUGCCCGCGCCUCCGUGUACGGCCCGCCCAUAGCUCCUUUGACGGCGCCGCUUAGGAACGCGGAGAAAAUAUGACAAAGGAACGGCCAAAAAUAAAAAGAAAGACCUUUCUUUUGAAAAAACAAACAAAUAAAAGGAAUGCAACACGAGGACUUCCCAGGAGGUCACCCAUCCUAGUACUACUCUCGCCCAAGCACGCUUAACUUCGGAGUUCUGAUGGGAUCCGGUGCUUUAGUGCUGGUAUGAUCGCAUCCGACAUACCGUGCGUUCUCCUCCCCUUUAUGCCCGCGCCUCCGUGUACGGCCCGCCCAUAGCUCCUUCGACGGCGCCGCCUAGGAACGCGGAGAAAAUAUGACAAAGGAACGGCCAAAAACAAAAAGAAAGACCUUUCUUUUGAAAAAACAAACAAAAAAAAGGAAUGCAACACGAGGACUUCCCAGGAGGUCACCCAUCCUAGUACUACUCUCGCCCAAGCACGCUUAACUUCGGAGUUCUGAUGGGAUCCGGUGCUUUAGUGCUGGUAUGAUCGCAUCCGACAUACCGUGCGUUCUCCUCCCCUUUAUGCCCGCGCCUCCGUGUACGGCCCGCCCAUAGCUCCUUCGACGGCGCCGCCUAGGAACGCGGAGAAAAUAUGACAAAGGAACGGCCAAAAAUAAAAAGAAAGACCUUUCUUUUGAAAAAACAAACAAAUAAAAGGAAUGCAACACGAGGACUUCCCAGGAGGUCACCCAUCCUAGUACUACUCUCGCCCAAGCACGCUUAACUUCGGAGUUCUGAUGGGAUCCGGUGCUUUAGUGCUGGUAUGAUCGCAUCCGACAUACCGUGCGUUCUCCUCCCCUUUAUGCCCGCGCCUCCGUGUACGGCCCGCCCAUAGCUCCUUCGACGGCGCCGCCUAGGAACGCGGAGAAAAUAUGACAAAGGAACGGCCAAAAAUAAAAAGAAAGACCUUUCUUUUGAAAAAACAAACAAAUAAAAGGAAUGCAACACGAGGACUUCCCAGGAGAUCACCCAUCCUAGUACUACUCUCGCCCAAGCACGCUUAACUUCGGAGUUCUGAUGGGAUCCGGUGCUUUAGUGCUGGUAUGAUCGCAUCCGACAUACCGUGCGUUCUCCUCCCCUUUAUGCCCGCGCCUCCGUGUACGGCCCGCCCAUAGCUCCUUCGACGGCGCCGCCUAGGAACGCGGAGAAAAUAUGACAAAGGAACGGCCAAAAAUAAAAAGAAAGACCUUUCUUUUGAAAAAACAAACAAAAAAAAGGAAUGCAACACGAGGACUUCCCACGAGGUCACCCAUCCUAGUACUACUCUAGUACCAAGCACGCUUAACUUCGGAGUUCUGAUGGGAUCCGGUGCUUUAGUGCUGGUAUGAUCGCAUCCGACAUACCGUGCGUUCUCCUCCCCUUUAUGCCCGCGCCUCCGUGUACGGCCCGCCCAUAGCUCCUUCGACGGCGCCGCCUAGGAACGCGGAGAAAAUAUGACAAAGGAACGGCCAAAAAUAAAAAGAAAGACCUUUCUUUUGAAAAAACAAACAAAAAAAAGGAAUGCAACACGAGGACUUCCCAGGAGGUCACCCAUCCUAGUACUACUCUCGCCCAAGCACGCUUAACUUCGGAGUUCUGAUGGGAUCCGGUGCUUUAGUGCUGGUAUGAUCGCAUCCGACAUACCGUGCGUUCUCCUCCCCUUUAUGCCCGCGCCUCCGUGUACGGCCCGCCCAUAGCUCCUUCGACGGCGCCGCCUAGGAACGCGGAGAAAAUAUGACAAAGGAACGGCCAAAAAUAAAAAGAAAGACCUUUCUUUUGAAAAAACAAACAAAUAAAAGGAAUGCAACACGAGGACUUCCCAGGAGGUCACCCAUCCUAGUACUACUCUCGCCCAAGCACGCUUAACUUCGGAGUUCUGAUGGGAUCCGGUGCUUUAGUGCUGGUAUGAUCGCAUCCGACAUACCGUGCGUUCUCCUCCCCUUUAUGCCCGCGCCUCCGUGUACGGCCCGCCCAUAGCUCCUUCGACGGCGCCGCCUAGGAACGCGGAGAAAAUAUGACAAAGGAACGGCCAAAAAUAAAAAGAAAGACCUUUCUUUUGAAAAAACAAACAAAAAAAAGGAAUGCAACACGAGGACUUCCCAGGAGGUCACCCAUCCUAGUACUACUCUCGCCCAAGCACGCUUAACUUCGGAGUUCUGAUGGGAUCCGGUGCUUUAGUGCUGGUAUGAUCGCAUCCGACAUACCGUGCGUUCUCCUCCCCUUUAUGCCCGCGCCUCCGUGUACGGCCCGCCCAUAGCUCCUUCGACGGCGCCGCCUAGGAACGCGGAGAAAAUAUGACAAAGGAACGGCCAAAAAUAAAAAGAAAGACCUUUCUUUUGAAAAAACAAACAAAAAAAAGGAAUGCAACACGAGGACUUCCCAGGAGGUCACCCAUCCUAGUACUACUCUCGCCCAAGCACGCUUAACUUCGGAGUUCUGAUGGGAUCCGGUGCUUUAGUGCUGGUAUGAUCGCAUCCGACAUACCGUGCGUUCUCCUCCCCUUUAUGCCCGCGCCUCCGUGUACGGCCCGCCCAUAGCUCCUUCGACGGCGCCGCCUAGGAACGCGGAGAAAAUAUGACAAAGGAACGGCCAAAAAUAAAAAGAAAGACCUUUCUUUUGAAAAAACAAACAAAUAAAAGGAAUGCAACACAAGGACUUCCCAGGAGGUCACCCAUCCUAGUACUACUCUCGCCCAAGCACGCUUAACUUCGGAGUUCUGAUGGGAUCCGGUGCUUUAGUGCUGGUAUGAUCGCAUCCGACAUACCGUGCGUUCUCCUCCCCUUUAUGCCCGCGCCUCCGUGUACGGCCCGCCCAUAGCUCCUUCGACGGCGCCGCCUAGGAACGCGGAGAAAAUAUGACAAAGGAACGGCCAAAAAUAAAAAGAAAGACCUUUCUUUUGAAAAAACAAACGCCUCCGUGUACGGCCCGCCCAUAGCUCCUUCGACGGCGCCGCCUAGGAACGCGGAGAAAAUAUGACAAAGGAACGGCCAAAAAUAAAAAGAAAGACCUUUCUUUUGAAAAAACAAACAAAAAAAAGGAAUGCAACACGAGGACUUCCCAGGAGGUCACCCAUCCUAGUACUACUCUCGCCCAAGCACGCUUAACUUCGGAGUUCUGAUGGGAUCCGGUGCUUUAGUGCUGGUAUGAUCGCAUCCGACAUACCGUGCGUUCUCCUCCCCUUUAUGCCCGCGCCUCCGUGUACGGCCCGCCCAUAGCUCCUUCGACGGCGCCGCCUAGGAACGCGGAGAAAAUAUGACAAAGGAACGGCCAAAAAUAAAAAGAAAGACCUUUCUUUUGAAAAAACAAACGCCUCCGUGUACGGCCCGCCCAUAGCUCCUUCGACGGCGCCGCCUAGGAACGCGGAGAAAAUAUGACAAAGGAACGGCCAAAAAUAAAAAGAAAGACCUUUCUUUUGAAAAAACAAACAAAAAAAAGGAAUGCAACACGAGGACUUCCCAGGAGGUCACCCAUCCUAGUACUACUCUCGCCCAAGCACGCUUAACUUCGGAGUUCUGAUGGGAUCCGGUGCUUUAGUGCUGGUAUGAUCGCAUCCGACAUACCGUGCGUUCUCCUCCCCUUUAUGCCCGCGCCUCCGUGUACGGCCCGCCCAUAGCUCCUUCGACGGCGCCGCCUAGGAACGCGGAGAAAAUAUGACAAAGGAACGGCCAAAAAUAAAAAGAAAGACCUUUCUUUUGAAAAAACAAACAAAUAAAAGGAAUGCAACACGAGGACUUCCCAGGAGGUCACCCAUCCUAGUACUACUCUCGCCCAAGCACGCUUAACUUCGGAGUUCUGAUGGGAUCCGGUGCUUUAGUGCUGGUAUGAUCGCAUCCGACAUACCGUGCGUUCUCCUCCCCUUUAUGCCCGCGCCUCCGUGUACGGCCCGCCCAUAGCUCCUUCGACGGCGCCGCCUAGGAACGCGGAGAAAAUAUGACAAAGGAACGGCCAAAAAUAAAAAGAAAGACCUUUCUUUUGAAAAAACAAACAAAAAAAAAGGAAUGCAACACGAGGACUUCCCAGGAGGUCACCCAUCCUAGUACUACUCUCGCCCAAGCACGCUUAACUUCGGAGUUCUGAUGGGAUCCGGUGCUUUAGUGCUGGUAUGAUCGCAUCCGACAUACCGUGCGUUCUCCUCCCCUUUAUGCCCGCGCCUCCGUGUACGGCCCGCCCAUAGCUCCUUCGACGGCGCCGCCUAGGAACGCGGAGAAAAUAUGACAAAGGAACGGCCAAAAAUAAAAAGAAAGACCUUUCUUUUGAAAAAACAAACAAAAAAAAGGAAUGCAACACGAGGACUUCCCAGGAGGUCACCCAUCCUAGUACUACUCUCGCCCAAGCACGCUUAACUUCGGAGUUCUGAUGGGAUCCGGUGCUUUAGUGCUGGUAUGAUCGCAUCCGACAUACCGUGCGUUCUCCUCCCCUUUAUGCCCGCGCCUCCGUGUACGGCCCGCCCAUAGCUCCUUCGACGGCGCCGCCUAGGAACGCGGAGAAAAUAUGACAAAGGAACGGCCAAAAAUAAAAAGAAAGACCUUUCUUUUGAAAAAACAAACAAAAAAAAGGAAUGCAACACGAGGACUUCCCAGGAGGUCACCCAUCCUAGUACUACUCUCGCCCAAGCACGCUUAACUUCGGAGUUCUGAUGGGAUCCGGUGCUCUAGUGCUGGUAUGAUCGCAUCCGACAUACCGUGCGUUCUCCUCCCCUUUAUGCCCGCGCCUCCGUGUACGGCCCGCCCAUAGCUCCUUCGACGGCGCCGCCUAGGAACGCGGAGAAAAUAUGACAAAGGAACGGCCAAAAAUAAAAAGAAAGACCUUUCUUUUGAAAAAACAAACAAAAAAAAAGGAAUGCAACACGAGGACUUCCCAGGAGGUCACCCAUCCUAGUACUACUCUCGCCCAAGCACGCUUAACUUCGGAGUUCUGAUGGGAUCCGGUGCUUUAGUGCUGGUAUGAUCGCAUCCGACAUACCGUGCGUUCUCCUCCCCUUUAUGCCCGCGCCUCCGUGUACGGCCCGCCCAUAGCUCCUUCGACGGCGCCGCCUAGGAACGCGGAGAAAAUAUGACAAAGGAACGGCCAAAAAUAAAAAGAAAGACCUUUCUUUUGAAAAAACAAACAAAUAAAAGGAAUGCAACACGAGGACUUCCUAGGAGGUCACCCAUCCUAGUACUACUCUCGCCCAAGCACGCUUAACUUCGGAGUUCUAAUGGGAUCCGGUGCUUUAGUGCUGGUAUGAUCGCAUCCGACAUACCGUGCGUUCUCCUCCCCUUUAUGCCCGCGCCUCCGUGUACGGCCCGCCCAUAGCUCCUUCGACGGCGCCGCCUAGGAACGCGGAGAAAAUAUGACAAAGGAACGGCCAAAAAUAAAAAGAAAGACCUUUCUUUUGAAAAAACAAACAAAAAAAAGGAAUGCAACACGAGGACUUCCCAGGAGGUCACCCAUCCUAGUACUACUCUCGCCCAAGCACGCUUAACUUCGGAGUUCUGAUGGGAUCCGGUGCUUUAGUGCUGGUAUGAUCGCAUCCGACAUACCGUGCGUUCUCCUCCCCUUUAUGCCCGCGCCUCCGUGUACGGCCCGCCCAUAGCUCCUUCGACGGCGCCGCCUAGGAACGCGGAGAAAAUAUGACAAAGGAACGGCCAAAAAUAAAAAGAAAGACCUUUCUUUUGAAAAAACAAACAAAAAAAAGGAAUGCAACACGAGGACUUCCCAGGAGGUCACCCAUCCUAGUACUACUCUCGCCCAAGCACGCUUAACUUCGGAGUUCUGAUGGGAUCCGGUGCUUUAGUGCUGGUAUGAUCGCAUCCGACAUACCGUGCGUUCUCCUCCCCUUUAUGCCCGCGCCUCCGUGUACGGCCCGCCCAUAGCUCCUUCGACGGCGCCGCCUAGGAACGCGGAGAAAAUAUGACAAAGGAACGGCCAAAAAUAAAAAGAAAGACCUUUCUUUUGAAAAAACAAACAAAAAAAAGGAAUGCAACACGAGGACUUCCCAGGAGGUCACCCAUCCUAGUACUACUCUCGCCCAAGCACGCUUAACUUCGGAGUUCUGAUGGGAUCCGGUGCUUUAGUGCUGGUAUGAUCGAAUCCGACAUACCGUGCGUUCUCCUCCCCUUUAUGCCCGCGCCUCCGUGUACGGUCCGCCCAUAGCUCCUUCGACGGCGCCGCCUAGGAACGCGGAGAAAAUAUGACAAAGGAACGGCCAAAAAUAAAAAGAAAGACCUUUCUUUUGAAAAAACAAACAAAUAAAAGGAAUGCAACACGAGGACUUCCCAGGAGGUCACCCAUCCUAGUACUACUCUCGCCCAAGCACGCUUAACUUCGGAGUUCUGAUGGGAUCCGGUGCUUUAGUGCUGGUAUGAUCGCAUCCGACAUACCGUGCGUUCUCCUCCCCUUUAUGCCCGCGCCUCCGUGUACGGCCCGCCCAUAGCUCCUUCGACGGCGCCGCCUAGGAACGCGGAGAAAAUAUGACAAAGGAACGGCCAAAAAUAAAAAGAAAGACCUUUCUUUUGAAAAAACAAACAAAUAAAAGGAAUGCAACACGAGGACUUCCCAGGAGGUCACCCAUCCUAGUACUACUCUCGCCCAAGCACGCUUAACUUCGGAGUUCUGAUGGGAUCCGGUGCUUUAGUGCUGGUAUGAUCGCAUCCGACAUACCGUGCGUUCUCCUCCCCUUUAUGCCCGCGCCUCCGUGUACGGCCCGCCCAUAGCUCCUUCGACGGCGCCGCCUAGGAACGCGGAGAAAAUAUGACAAAGGAACGGCCAAAAAUAAAAAGAAAGACCUUUCUUUUGAAAAAACAAACAAAAAAAAGGAAUGCAGCACCAGGACUUCCCGGAAGGUCACCCAUCCAAAUACAACUCUCGCCGAACCACGUUUAACUUCGAAUUUCUAAUGGAAUCCGGGGCUUUAGAGCUGGAAUGAUCGCAUCCGACAUACCGUGCGUUCUCCUCCCCUUUAUGCCCGCGCCUCCGUGUACGGCCCGCCCAUAGCUCCUUCGACGGCGCCGCCUAGGAACGCGGAGAAAAUAUGACAAAGGAGCGGCCAAAAAUAAAAAGAAAGACCUUUCUUUUGAAAAAACAAACAAAUAAAAGGAAUGCAACACGAGGACUUCCUAGGAGGUCACCCAUCCUAGUACUACUCUCGCCCAAGCACGCUUAACUUCGGAGUUCUGAUGGGAUCCGGUGCUUUAGUGCUGGUAUGAUCGCAUCCGACAUACCGUGCGUUCUCCUCCCCUUUAUGCCCGCGCCUCCGUGUACGGCCCGCCCAUAGCUCCUUCGACGGCGCCGCCUAGGAACGCGGAGAAAAUAUGACAAAGGAACGGCCAAAAAUAAAAAGAAAGACCUUUCUUUUGAAAAAACAAACGCCUCCGUGUACGGCCCGCCCAUAGCUCCUUCGACGGCGCCGCCUAGGAACGCGGAGAAAAUAUGACAAAGGAACGGCCAAAAAUAAAAAGAAAGACCUUUCUUUUGAAAAAACAAACAAAAAAAAGGAAUGCAACACGAGGACUUCCCAGGAGGUCACCCAUCCUAGUACUACUCUCGCCCAAGCACGCUUAACUUCGGAGUUCUGAUGGGAUCCGGUGCUUUAGUGCUGGUAUGAUCGCAUCCGACAUACCGUGCGUUCUCCUCCCCUUUAUGCCCGCGCCUCCGUGUACGGCCCGCCCAUAGCUCCUUCGACGGCGCCGCCUAGGAACGCGGAGAAAAUAUGACAAAGGAACGGCCAAAAAUAAAAAGAAAGACCUUUCUUUUGAAAAAACAAACAAAUAAAAGGAAUGCAACACGAGGACUUCCCAGGAGGUCACCCAUCCUAGUACUACUCUCGCCCAAGCACGCUUAACUUCGGAGUUCUGAUGGGAUCCGGUGCUUUAGUGCUGGUAUGAUCGCAUUCGACAUACCGAUGCGUUCUCAUCCCCGUUAUGCGCCGCGCCUCUGUGUACGGCCCGCCCAUAGCUCCUUUGACUGCGCCUCGUAGGAUCGCGGAGAAUAUAUGACAAAGGCACGGCCAAACAUAAAACGAAAGACCUCUCUUUUGCAACAACAAACAAAAUAAAGGAAUGCAACACGAGGACUUCCCAGGAGGUCACCCAUCCUAGUACUAGUCUCGCUCAAGCACGCUGAUCUUCGGAGUUCUGAUGGGAUCCGGUGCUUUAGUGCUGGUAUGAUCGCAUCCGACAUACCGUGCGUUCUCCUCCCCUUUAUGCCCGCGCCUCCGUGUACGGCCCGCCCAUAGCUCCUUCGACGGCGCCGCCUAGGAACGCGGAGAAAAUAUGACAAAGGAACGGCCAAAAAUAAAAAGAAAGACCUUUCUUUUGAAAAAACAAACAAAAAAAAGGAAUGCAACACGAGGACUUCCCAGGAGGUCACCCAUCCUAGUACUACUCUCGCCCAAGCACGCUUAACUUCGGAGUUCUGAUGGGAUCCGGUGCUUUAGUGCUGGUAUGAUCGCAUCCGACAUACCGUGCGUUCUCCUCCCCUUUAUGCCCGCGCCUCCGUGUACGGCCCGCCCAUAGCUCCUUCGACGGCGCCGCCUAGGAACGCGGAGAAAAUAUGACAAAGGAACGGCCAAAAAUAAAAAGAAAGACCUUUCUUUUGAAAAAACAAACAAAUAAAAGGAAUGCAACACGAGGACUUCCCAGGAGGUCACCCAUCCUAGUACUACUCUCGCCCAAGCACGCUUAACUUCGGAGUUCUGAUGGGAUCCGGUGCUUUAGUGCUGGUAUGAUCGCAUCCGACAUACCGUGCGUUCUCCUCCCCUUUAUGCCCGCGCCUCCGUGUACGGCCCGCCCAUAGCUCCUUCGACGAGCCCGCCUAGGAACGCGGAGAAAAUAUGACAAAGGAACGGCCAAAAAUAAAAAGAAAGACCUUUCUUUUGAAAAAACAAACAAAUAAAAGGAAUGCAACACGAGGACUUCCCAGGAGGUCACCCAUCCUAGUACUACUCUCGCCCAAGCACGCUUAACUUCGGAGUUCUGAUGGGAUCCGGUGCUUUAGUGCUGGUAUGAUCGCAUCCGACAUACCGUGCGUUCUCCUCCCCUUUAUGCCCGCGCCUCCGUGUACGGCCCGCCCAUAGCUCCUUCGACGGCGCCGCCUAGGAACGCGGAGAAAAUAUGACAAAGGAACGGCCAAAAAUAAAAAGAAAGACCUUUCUUUUGAAAAAACAAACAAAAAAAAGGAAUGCAACACGAGGACUUCCCAGGAGGUCACCCAUCCUAGUACUACUCUCGCCCAAGCACGCUUAACUUCGGAGUUCUGAUGGGAUCCGGUGCUUUAGUGCUGGUAUGAUCGCAUCCGACAUACCGUGCGUUCUCCUCCCCUUUAUGCCCGCGCCUCCGUGUACGGCCCGCCCAUAGCUCCUUCGACGGCGCCGCCUAGGAACGCGGAGAAAAUAUGACAAAGGAACGGCCAAAAAUAAAAAGAAAGACCUUUCUUUUGAAAAAACAAACAAAUAAAAGGAAUGCAACACGAGGACUUCCCAGGAGGUCACCCAUCCUAGUACUACUCUCGCCCAAGCACGCUUAACUUCGGAGUUCUGAUGGGAUCCGGUGCUUUAGUGCUGGUAUGAUCGCAUCCGACAUACCGUGCGUUCUCCUCCCCUUUAUGCCCGCGCCUCCGUGUACGGCCCGCCCAUAGCUCCUUCGACGGCGCCGCCUAGGAACGCGGAGAAAAUAUGACAAAGGAACGGCCAAAAAUAAAAAGAAAGACCUUUCUUUUGAAAAAACAAACAAAUAAAAGGAAUGCAACACGAGGACUUCCCAGGAGGUCACCCAUCCUAGUACUACUCUCGCCCAAGCACGCUUAACUUCGGAGUUCUGAUGGGAUCCGGUGCUUUAGUGCUGGUAUGAUCGCAUCCGACAUACCGUGCGUUCUCCUCCCCUUUAUGCCCGCGCCUCCGUGUACGGUCCGCCCAUAGCUCUUUAGUUGGCGCCUCCUAGGAACGCGGAGAAAAUAUGACAAAGGAACGGCCAAAAAUAAAAAGAAAGACCUUUCUUUUGAAAAAACAAACGCCUCCGUGUACGGCCCGCCCAUAGCUCCUUCGACGGCGCCGCCUAGGAACGCGGAGAAAAUAUGACAAAGGAACGGCCAAAAAUAAAAAGAAAGACCUUUCUUUUGAAAAAACAAACAAAAAAAAGGAAUGCAACACGAGGACUUCCCAGGAGGUCACCCAUCCUAGUACUACUCUCGCCCAAGCACGCUUAACUUCGGAGUUCUGAUGGGAUCCGGUGCUUUAGUGCUGGUAUGAUCGCAUCCGACAUACCGUGCGUUCUCCUCCCCUUUAUGCCCGCGCCUCCGUGUACGGCCCGCCCAUAGCUCCUUCGACGGCGCCGCCUAGGAACGCGGAGAAAAUAUGACAAAGGAACGGCCAAAAAUAAAAAGAAAGACCUUUCUUUUGAAAAAACAAACAAAUAAAAGGAAUGCAACACGAGGAGUUCCCAGGAGGUCACCCAUCCUAGUACUACUCUCGCCCAAGCACGCUUAACUUCGGAGUUCUGAUGGGAUCCGGUGCUUUAGUGCUGGUAUGAUCGCAUCCGACAUACCGUGCGUUCUCCUCCCCUUUAUGCCCGCGCCUCCGUGUACGGCCCGCCCAUAGCUCCUUCGAUGGCGCCGCCUAGGAACGCGGAGAAAAUAUGACAAAGGAACGGCCAAAAAUAAAAAGAAAGACCUUUCUUUUGAAAAAACAAACGCCUCCGUGUACGGCCCGCCCAUAGCUCCUUCGACGGCGCCGCCUAGGAACGCGGAGAAAAUAUGACAAAGGAACGGCCAAAAAUAAAAAGAAAGACCUUUCUUUUGAAAAAACAAACAAAAAAAAGGAAUGCAACACGAGGACUUCCCAGGAGGUCACCCAUCCUAGUACUACUCUCGCCCAAGCACGCUUAACUUCGGAGUUCGGAUGGGAUCCGGUGCUUUAGUGCUGGUAUGAUCGCAUCCGACAUACCGUGCGUUCUCCUCCCCUUUAUGCCCGCGCCUCCGUGUACGGCCCGCCCAUAGCUCCUUCGACGGCGCCGCCUAGGAACGCGGAGAAAAUAUGACAAAGGAACGGCCAAAAAUAAAAAGAAAGACCUUUCUUUUGAAAAAACAAACAAAUAAAAGGAAUGCAACACGAGGACUUCCCAGGAGGUCACCCAUCCUAGUACUACUCUCGCCCAAGCACGCUUAACUUCGGAGUUCUGAUGGGAUCCGGUGCUUUAGUGCUGGUAUGAUCGCAUCCGACAUACCGUGCGUUCUCCUCCCCUUUAUGCCCGCGCCUCCGUGUACGGCCCGCCCAUAGCUCCUUCGACGGCGCCGCCUAGGAACGCGGAGAAAAUAUGACAAAGGAACGGCCAAAAAUAAAAAGAAAGACCUUUCUUUUGAAAAAACAAACAAAAAAAAGGAAUGCAACACGAGGACUUCCCAGGAGGUCACCCAUCCUAGUACUACUCUCGCCCAAGCACGCUUAACUUCGCAGUUCUGAUGGGAUCCGGUGCUUUAGUGCUGGUAUGAUCGCAUCCGACAUACCGUGCGUUCUCCUCCCCUUUAUGCCCGCGCCUCCGUGUACGGCCCGCCCAUAGCUCCUUCGACGGCGCCGCCUAGGAACGCGGAGAAAAUAUGACAAAGGAACGGCCAAAAAUAAAAAGAAAGACCUUUCUUUUGAAAAAACAAACGGCUCCGUGUACGGCCCGCCCAUAGCUCCUUCGACGGCGCCGCCUAGGAACGCGGAGAAAAUAUGACAAAGGAACGGCCAAAAAUAAAAAGAAAGACCUUUCUUUUGAAAAAACAAACAAAAAAAAGGAAUGCAACACGAGGACUUCCCAGGAGGUCACCCAUCCUAGUACUACUCUCGCCCAAGCACGCUUAACUUCGGAGUUCUGAUGGGAUCCGGUGCUUUAGUGCUGGUAUGAUCGCAUCCGACAUACCGUGCGUUCUCCUCCCCUUUAUGCCCGCGCCUCCGUGUACGGCCCGCCCAUAGCUCCUUCGACGGCGCCGCCUAGGAACGCGGAGAAAAUAUGACAAAGGAACGGCCAAAAAUAAAAAGAAAGACCUUUCUUUUGAAAAAACAAACAAAUAAAAGGAAUGCAACACGAGGACUUCCCAGGAGGUCACCCAUCCUAGUACUACUCUCGCCCAAGCACGCUUAACUUCGGAGUUCUGAUGGGAUCCGGUGCUUUAGUGCUGGUAUGAUCGCAUCCGACAUACCGUGUGUCGACGAAAGCUGGUCGGCAGUCUACCUUGGGGUAUACCCACGGUAGUAGUUUAUCGGUAGACGGUGCGCAAACUACGAACUCGAUGGUGACGCAAGACACGGACAAGCUUUUUAUCCAGGUUCGGCCGCCGAGUUGGCGUAAUACCUACGUCCUGCGUCUGGUUGUAUUGGAUUGUGUUUAGAGAUAAUCUACCCUAGGGGGUCCCCUUGCCCCUCCUUAUAUAGUCUGGAGGGCAGGGUUACAGAUCUAGAAACUAAUCCUAGCCGGUUACAAUUGCCAUAGAUAAUUCGAUAUCAAUUCCUAUUCUAACCGACUAGAAUCCUGCUUGAUCUCCACGUCCUGUUUCCUUGCGCGAAACUCGGGCUAUCGGAUCAAGCCUUGAACUCGUCUCGUAGUGGGCCAAGCUUCCUAGCUGAAGUCUAGCCGUAAGGGUAUAGGGGUUUAUACCCCCACAGCUAGUCCCCGAGCGCCAUGUAUUGUGACGCAACACUCCGUCUUGAGCUUCUUCGAUCAGCGUGGUCUGUCGUCUUCAAUGAGCGGGGAAAUCGCCCAAACGGUUCAUUGAUCAACGUUGUCAUCGAAGAAGCAGGUUGUUCGAAGAAUGCAUGGUGCUCUAAAAAAAAUUUCUUUCCUGGUGAAGUGUGCCCACUUUGCCUUUCUGAAAGGUAGAAGCAACAAAAAAGCAAGCAAAUUCACCGCUAGGUGAAGUGUGCCCACUUAGUCCCCGAGCCUGGUAGUAGGUGUCGUAGGCACGUGGUGCCAGGGUCAAAAGAAAAUUCCCCAAAGUAGUUUUGGGACUGAGAUGCAUCGUACCGAUGUAGUCCCCGAGCUUGCUGGAAGGCGAAGUAUGAGCCUUGUAGCAAGGUCUAAAAAAUUGAAUUUACCAGUCCCCGAGCAUGUCAUGCUCGUCUGCAAUCGAAAAGACCAAUCGACCAGUCCCCAGGCACUUAGUGUGCUGCCUGGAAUUACAUGUUACUAUACUGUACGACCAGUCCCCGAGCAUCGAGUGCUCAGUGGUCGGUGCAUGCUUUAAAGCUUUGAGCUGAUAGACUGAGCGACCAGUCCCCGAGCGUCGAGUGCUCGGUGGUCGGUGAAGUCUUUGAAGUUCCGAGCUGAUAAACUGGGCGACCAGUCCCCGAGCGUCGAGUGCUCGGUGGUCGGUGCAGUCUUUGAAGUUCCGAGCUAAUAAACUGGGCGACCAGUCCCCGAGCGUCGAGUGCUCGGUGGUCGGUGCAGUCUUUGAAGUUCCGAGCUAAUAAACUGGGCGACCAGUCCCCGAGCGUCGAGUGCUCGGUGGUCGGUGCAGUCCCCGGAUUGCUGACUCACUGGCGUAUGUGUCUUCUUACUUUUGAAAAGGUCUUUCAAAUUUAAAGUUGACGUGACGGGGUCUCCUGACGAUAUGUCAGACGGAUGCAUGAAAAGCUGUGCCUGGCAACUGUACAACCGCUCUUUGCNNNNNNNNNNNNNNNNNNNNNNNNNNNNNNNNNNNNNNNNNNNNNNNNNNNNNNNNNNNNNNNNNNNNNNNNNNNNNNNNNNNNNNNNNNNNNNNNNNNNCGUUCUCCUCCCCUUUAUGCCCGCGCCUCCGUGUCCGUAAAGGGCAUAGCUCCUUCGACGGCGCCGCCGUAGGAACGCUGAGAAGAUAUGACAAAGGAACGGCCAAAAAUAAAAAGAAAGACCUUUCUUUUGAAAAAACAAACAAAAAAAAGGAAUGCAACACGAGGACUUCCCAGGAGGUCACCCAUCCUAGUACUACUCUCGCCCAAGCACGCUUAACUUCGGAGUUCUGAUGGGAUCCGGUGCUUUAGUGCUGGUAUGAUCGCAUCCGACAUACCGUGCGUUCUCCUCCCCUUUAUGCCCGCGCCUCCGUGUACGGCCGGCCCAUAGCUCCUUCGACGGCGCCGCCUAGGAACGCGGAGAAAAUAUGACAAAGGAAUUUUUUUAAAUAAAAAGAAAGACCUUUCUUUUGAAAAAACAAACGAAAAAAAGGAAUGCAACACGAGGACUUCCCAGGAGGUCACCCAUCCUAGUACUACUCUCGCCCAAGCACGCUUAACUUCGGAGUUCUGAUGGGAUCCGGUGCUUUAGUGCUGGUAUGAUCGCAUCCGACAUACCGUGCGUUCUCCUCCCCUUUAUGCCCGCGCCUCCGUGUACGGCCCGCCCAUAGCUCCUUCGACGGCGCCGCCUAAGAACGCGGAAAAAAUAUGACAAAGGAACGGCCAAAAAUAAAAAAAAAAAACCUUUCUUUUGAAAAAANNNNNNNNNNNNNNNNNNNNNNNNNNNNNNNNNNNNNNNNNNNNNNNNNNNNNNNNNNNNNNNNNNNNNNNNNNNNNNNNNNNNNNNNNNNNNNNNNNNNAAAAGGAAUGCAACACGAGGACUUCCCAGGAGGUCACCCAUCCUAGUACUACUCUCGCCCAAGCACGCUUAACUUCGGAGUUCUGAUGGGAUCCGGUGCUUUAGUGCUGGUAUGAUCGCAUCCGACAUACCGUGCGUUCUCCUCCCCUUUAUGCCCGCGCCUCCGUGUUACGGCCCGCCCAUAGCUCCUUCGACGGCGCCGCCUAGGAACGCGGAGAAAAUAUGACAAAGGAACGGCCAAAAAUCAAAAGAAAGACCUUUCUUUUGAAAAAACACACGCCUCCGUGUACGGCCCGCCCAUAGCUCCUUCGACGGCGCCGCCUAGGAACGCGGAGAAAAUAUGACAAAGGAACGGCCAAAAAUAAAAAGAAAGACCUUUCUUUUGAAAAAACAAACAAAUAAAAGGAAUGCAACACGAGGACUUCCCAGGAGGUCACCCAUCCUAGUACUACUCUCGCCCAAGCACGCUUAACUUCGGAGUUCUGAUGGGAUCCGGUGCUUUAGUGCUGGUAUGAUCGCAUCCGACAUACCGUGCGUUCUCCUCCCCUUUAUGCCCGCGCCUCCGUGUACGGCCCGCCCAUAGCUCCUUCGACGGCGCCGCCUAGGAACGCGGAGAAAAUAUGACAAAGGAACGGCCAAAAAUAAAAAGAAAGACCUUUCUUUUGAAAAAACAAACAAAUAAAAGGAAUGCAACACGAGGACUUCCCAGGAGGUCACCCAUCCUAGUACUACUCUCGCCCAAGCACGCUUAACUUCGGAGUUCUGAUGGGAUCCGGUGCUUUAGUGCUGGUAUGAUCGCAUCCGACAUACCGUGCGUUCUCCUCCCCUUUAUGCCCGCGCCUCCGUGUACGGCCCGCCCAUAGCUCCUUCGACGGCGCCGCCUAGGAACGCGGAGAAAAUAUGACAAAGGAACGGCCAAAAAUAAAAAGAAAGACCUUUCUUUUGAAAAAACAAACGCCUCCGUGUACGGCCCGCCCAUAGCUCCUUCGACGGCGCCGCCUAGGAACGCGGAGAAAAUAUGACAAAGGAACGGCCAAAAAUAAAAAGAAAGACCUUUCUUUUGAAAAAACAAACAAAAAAAAGGAAUGCAACACGAGGACUUCCCAGGAGGUCACCCAUCCUAGUACUACUCUCGCCCAAGCACGCUUAACUUCGGAGUUCUGAUGGGAUCCGGUGCUUUAGUGCUGGUAUGAUCGCAUCCGACAUACCGUGCGUUCUCCUCCCCUUUAUGCCCGCGCCUCCGUGUACGGCCCGCCCAUAGCUCCUUCGACGGCGCCGCCUAGGAACGCGGAGAAAAUAUGACAAAGGAACGGCCAAAAAUAAAAAGAAAGACCUUUCUUUUGAAAAAACAAACAAAUAAAAGGAAUGCAACACGAGGACUUCCCAGGAGGUCACCCAUCCUAGUACUACUCUCGCCCAAGCACGCUUAACUUCGGAGUUCUGAUGGGAUCCGGUGCUUUAGUGCUGGUAUGAUCGCAUCCGACAUACCGUGCGUUCUCCUCCCCUUUAUGCCCGCGCCUCCGUGUACGGCCCGCCCAUAGCUCCUUCGACGGCGCCGCCUAGGAACGCGGAGAAAAUAUGACAAAGGAACGGCCAAAAAUAAAAAGAAAGACCUUUCUUUUGAAAAAACAAACGCCUCCGUGUACGGCCCGCCCAUAGCUCCUUCGACGGCGCCGCCUAGGAACGCGGAGAAAAUAUGACAAAGGAACGGCCAAAAAUAAAAAGAAAGACCUUUCUUUUGAAAAAACAAACAAAAAAAAGGAAUGCAACACGAGGACUUCCCAGGAGGUCACCCAUCCUAGUACUACUCUCGCCCAAGCACGCUUAACUUCGGAGUUCUGAUGGGAUCCGGUGCUUUAGUGCUGGUAUGAUCGCAUCCGACAUACCGUGCGUUCUCCUCCCCUUUAUGCCCGCGCCUCCGUGUACGGCCCGCCCAUAGCUCCUUCGACGGCGCCGCCUAGGAACGCGGAGAAAAUAUGACAAAGGAACGGCCAAAAAUAAAAAGAAAGACCUUUCUUUUGAAAAAACAAACAAAUAAAAGGAAUGCAACACGAGGACUUCCCAGGAGGUCACCCAUCCUAGUACUACUCUCGCCCAAGCACGCUUAACUUCGGAGUUCUGAUGGGAUCCGGUGCUUUAGUGCUGGUAUGAUCGCAUCCGACAUACCGUGCGUUCUCCUCCCCUUUAUGCCCGCGCCUCCGUGUACGGCCCGCCCAUAGCUCCUUCGACGGCGCCGCCUAGGAACGCGGAGAAAAUAUGACAAAGGAACGGCCAAAAAUAAAAAGAAAGACCUUUCUUUUGAAAAAACAAACAAAAAAAAGGAAUGCAACACGAGGACUUCCCAGGAGGUCACCCAUCCUAGUACUACUCUCGCCCAAGCACGCUUAACUUCGGAGUUCUGAUGGGAUCCGGUGCUUUAGUGCUGGUAUGAUCGCAUCCGACAUACCGUGCGUUCUCCUCCCCUUUAUGCCCGCGCCUCCGGGUACGGUCCUCCCAUAGCUCCGUCAACGGCCCGCCUAGGAACGCGGAGAAAAUAUGACAAAGGAACGGCCAAAAAUAAAAAGAAAGCCCUUUCUUUUGAAAAGACAACCGAAUAAAAGGAAUGCCACGCGAGGACUUCCCAGGAGGUCACCCAUCAUAGUACUACUCUCGCCCAAGCACGCUUAACUUCGGAGUUCUGAUGGGAUCCGGUGCUUUAGUGCUGGUAUGAUCGCAUCCGACAUACCGCGCGUUCUCCUCCCCUUAAGGCCCGCGCCUCCGUGUACGGCCCGCCCAUAGCUCCUUAGACGGCACCUCCUAGGAACGCGGAGAAAAUAUGACAAAGGAACGGCCAAAAAUAAAAAGAAAGACCUUUCUUUUGAAAAAACAAACGCCUCCGUGUACGGCCCGCCCAUAGCUCCUUCGACGGCGCCGCCUAGGAACGCGGAGAAAAUAUGACAAAGGAACGGCCAAAAAUAAAAAGAAAGACCUUUCUUUUGAAAAAACAAACAAAAAAAAGGAAUGCAACACGAGGACUUCCCAGGAGGUCACCCAUCCUAGUACUACUCUCGCCCAAGCACGCUUAACUUCGGAGUUCUGAUGGGAUCCGGUGCUUUAGUGCUGGUAUGAUCGCAUCCGACAUACCGUGCGUUCUCCUCCCCUUUAUGCCCGCGCCUCCGUGUACGGCCCGCCCAUAGCUCCUUCGACGGCGCCGCCUAGGAACGCGGAGAAAAUAUGACAAAGGAACGGCCAAAAAUAAAAAGAAAGACCUUUCUUUUGAAAAAACAAACGCCUCCGCGUACGGCCCGCCCAUAGCUCCUUCGACGGCGCCGCCUAGGAACGCGGAGAAAAUAUGACAAAGGAACGGCCAAAAAUAAAAAGAAAGACCUUUCUUUUGAAAAAACAAACAAAAAAAAGGAAUGCAACACGAGGACUUCCCAGGAGGUCACCCAUCCUAGUACUACUCUCGCCCAAGCACGCUUAACUUCGGAGUUCUGAUGGGAUCCGGUGCUUUAGUGCUGGUAUGAUCGCAUCCGACAUACCGUGCGUUCUCCUCCCCUUUAUGCCCGCGCCUCCGUGUACGGCCCGCCCAUAGCUCCUUCGACGGCGCCGCCUAGGAACGCGGAGAAAAUAUGACAAAGGAACGGCCAAAAAUAAAAAGAAAGACCUUUCUUUUGAAAAAACAAACAAAUAAAAGGAAUGCAACACGAGGACUUCCCAGGAGGUCACCCAUCCUAGUACUACUCUCGCCCAAGCACGCUUAACUUCGGAGUUCUGAUGGGAUCCGGUGCUUUAGUGCUGGUAUGAUCGCAUCCGACAUACCGUGCGUUCUCCUCCCCUUUAUGCCCGCGCCUCCGUGUACGGCCCGCCCAUAGCUCCUUCGACGGCGCCGCCUAGGAACGCGGAGAAAAUAUGACAAAGGAACGGCCAAAAAUAAAAAGAAAGACCUUUCUUUUGAAAAAACAAACAAAUAAAAGGAAUGCAACACGAGGACUUCCCAGGAGGUCACCCAUCCUAGUACUACUCUCGCCCAAGCACGCUUAACUUCGGAGUUCUGAUGGGAUCCGGUGCUUUAGUGCUGGUAUGAUCGCAUCCGACAUACCGUGCGUUCUCCUCCCCUUUAUGCCCGCGCCUCCGUGUACGGCCCGCCCAUAGCUCCUUCGACGGCGCCGCCUAGGAACGCGGAGAAAAUAUGACAAAGGAACGGCCAAAAAUAAAAAGAAAGACCUUUCUUUUGAAAAAACAAACGCCUCCGUGUACGGCCCGCCCAUAGCUCCUUCGACGGCGCCGCCUAGGAACGCGGAGAAAAUAUGACAAAGGAACGGCCAAAAAUAAAAAGAAAGACCUUUCUUUUGAAAAAACAAACAAAAAAAAGGAAUGCAACACGAGGACUUCCCAGGAGGUCACCCAUCCUAGUACUACUCUCGCCCAAGCACGCUUAACUUCGGAGUUCUGAUGGGAUCCGGUGCUUUAGUGCUGGUAUGAUCGCAUCCGACAUACCGUGCGUUCUCCUCCCCUUUAUGCCCGCGCCUCCGUGUACGGCCCGCCCAUAGCUCCUUCGACGGCGCCGCCUAGGAACGCGGAGAAAAUAUGACAAAGGAACGGCCAAAAAUAAAAAGAAAGACCUUUCUUUUGAAAAAACAAACAAAUAAAAGGAAUGCAACACGAGGACUUCCCAGGAGGUCACCCAUCCUAGUACUACUCUCGCCCAAGCACGCUUAACUUCGGAGUUCUGAUGGGAUCCGGUGCUUUAGUGCUGGUAUGAUCGCAUCCGACAUACCGUGCGUUCUCCUCCCCUUUAUACCCGCGCCUCCGUGUACGGCCCGCCCAUAGCUCCUUCGACGGCGCCGCCUAGGAACGCGGAGAAAAUAUGACAAAGGAACGGCCAAAAAUAAAAAGAAAGACCUUUCUUUUGAAAAAACAAACAAAUAAAAGGAAUGCAACACGAGGACUUCCCAGGAGGUCACCCAUCCUAGUACUACUCUCGCCCAAGCACGCUUAACUUCGGAGUUCUGAUGGGAUCCGGUGCUUUAGUGCUGGUAUGAUCGCAUCCGACAUACCGUGCGUUCUCCUCCCCUUUAUGCCCGCGCCUCCGUGUACGGCCCGCCCAUAGCUCCUUCGACGGCGCCGCCUAGGAACGCGGAGAAAAUAUGACAAAGGAACGGCCAAAAAUAAAAAGAAAGACCUUUCUUUUGAAAAAACAAACGCCUCCGUGUACGGCCCGCCCAUAGCUCCUUCGACGGCGCCGCCUAGGAACGCGGAGAAAAUAUGACAAAGGAACGGCCAAAAAUAAAAAGAAAGACCUUUCUUUUGAAAAAACAAACAAAAAAAAGGAAUGCAACACGAGGACUUCCCAGGAGGUCACCCAUCCUAGUACUACUCUCGCCCAAGCACGCUUAACUUCGGAGUUCUGAUGGGAUCCGGUGCUUUAGUGCUGGUAUGAUCGCAUCCGACAUACCGUGCGUUCUCCUCCCCUUUAUACCCGCGCCUCCGUGUACGGCCCGCCCAUAGCUCCUUCGACGGCGCCGCCUAGGAACGCGGAGAAAAUAUGACAAAGGAACGGCCAAAAAUAAAAAGAAAGACCUUUCUUUUGAAAAAACAAGCAAAAAAAAGGAAUGCAACACGAGGACUUCCCAGGAGGUCACCCAUCCUAGUACUACUCUCGCCCAAGCACGCUUAACUUCGGAGUUCUGAUGGGAUCCGGUGCUUUAGUGCUGGUAUGAUCGCAUCCGACAUACCGUGCGUUCUCCUCCCCUUUAUGCCCGCGCCUCCGUGUACGGCCCGCCCAUAGCUCCUUCGACAGCGCCGCCUAGGAACGCGGAGAAAAUAUGACAAAGGAACGGCAAAAAAUAAAAAGAAAGACCUUUCUUUUGAAAAAACAAACAAAAAAAAGGAAUGCAACACGCGGACUUCCCAGGAGGUCACCCAUCCUAGUACUACUCUCGCCUAAGCACGCUUAACUUCGGAGUNNNNNNNNNNNNNNNNNNNNNNNNNNNNNNNNNNNNNNNNNNNNNNNNNNNNNNNNNNNNNNNNNNNNNNNNNNNNNNNNNNNNNNNNNNNNNNNNNNNNNNNNNNNNNNNNNNNNNNNNNNNNNNNNNNNNNNNNNNNNNNNNNNNNNNNNNNNNNNNNNNNNNNNNNNNNNNNNNNNNNNNNNNNNNNNNNNNNNNNNNNNNNNNNNNNNNNNNNNNNNNNNNNNNNNNNNNNNNNNNNNNNNNNNNNNNNNNNNNNNNNNNNNNNNNNNNNNNNNNNNNNNNNNNNNNNNNNNNNNNNNNNNNNNNNNNNNNNNNNNNNNNNNNNNNNNNNNNNNNNNNNNNNNNNNNNNNNNNNNNNNNNNNNNNNNNNNNNNNNNNNNNNNNNNNNNNNNNNNNNNNNNNNNNNNNNNNNNNNNNNNNNNNNNNNNNNNNNNNNNNNNNNNNNNNNNNNNNNNNNNNNNNNNNNNNNNNNNNNNNNNNNNNNNNNNNNNNNNNNNNNNNNNNNNNNNNNNNNNNNNNNNNNNNNNNNNNNNNNNNNNNNNNNNNNNNNNNNNNNNNNNNNNNNNNNNNNNNNNNNNNNNNNNNNNNNNNNNNNNNNNNNNNNNNNNNNNNNNNNNNNNNNNNNNNNNNNNNNNNNNNNNNNNNNNNNNNNNNNNNNNNNNNNNNNNNNNNNNNNNNNNNNNNNNNNNNNNNNNNNNNNNNNNNNNNNNNNNNNNNNNNNNNNNNNNNNNNNNNNNNNNNNNNNNNNNNNNNNNNNNNNNNNNNNNNNNNNNNNNNNNNNNNNNNNNNNNNNNNNNNNNNNNNNNNNNNNNNNNNNNNNNNNNNNNNNNNNNNNNNNNNNNNNNNNNNNNNNNNNNNNNNNNNNNNNNNNNNNNNNNNNNNNNNNNNNNNNNNNNNNNNNNNNNNNNNNNNNNNNNNNNNNNNNNNNNNNNNNNNNNNNNNNNNNNNNNNNNNNNNNNNNNNNNNNNNNNNNNNNNNNNNNNNNNNNNNNNNNNNNNNNNNNNNNNNNNNNNNNNNNNNNNNNNNNNNNNNNNNNNNNNNNNNNNNNNNNNNNNNNNNNNNNNNNNNNNNNNNNNNNNNNNNNNNNNNNNNNNNNNNNNNNNNNNNNNNNNNNNNNNNNNNNNNNNNNNNNNNNNNNNNNNNNNNNNNNNNNNNNNNNNNNNNNNNNNNNNNNNNNNNNNNNNNNNNNNNNNNNNNNNNNNNNNNNNNNNNNNNNNNNNNNNNNNNNNNNNNNNNNNNNNNNNNNNNNNNNNNNNNNNNNNNNNNNNNNNNNNNNNNNNNNNNNNNNNNNNNNNNNNNNNNNNNNNNNNNNNNNNNNNNNNNNNNNNNNNNNNNNNNNNNNNNNNNNNNNNNNNNNNNNNNNNNNNNNNNNNNNNCCUUCAUCCAUCUGUGCGAGGCCUAUGUUGGCAUAGAGCCGCACUUUGAUCUUUUCCGGUAUCUUUUCUGUCUGAGGAAGAAGGGAGCAGUUGGAGGCUCCAAGGUUGCAGGUGGAGUAUACCUCAACCUCCGUGAUGGGAUGAAGAAUCGCUACCUGCACUGCCCAUGGAACACCUCCUUGACCGAAUGGUACAGGAAGUGGUUCUACGUCAGGGAGGAACCGGGCAGCUCCACGUUCUGCGACGUGGGGUACGUUCCCGAGAAGAGGGCGAGCUGGACUGACCGCCCAGAGUUCGACGGUCAAGUGGCGGUUCUGAUGAAGCUGAUCGACUGGUCGCGCCUGGAUGGGCUCAGCGUGGUCGGCAACUUCAUUUGCCGCCGGGUGAUGCCCUGCCAGAAGAGGGUGCACUCGGCGUAUGAAUAUGCCGGAAGCACAGACCCGACCAGGAUGCGGUCGGAGAUCCUGGAGAAGGCGGAGGUACAACAGCUGCUGAACGAGCUGUUUAACUUCGCGGAUGGGGGCUUCACCCGUAGCAGUGAUCGGGUGCAAGCCUUCAAGUUAGGACGACCAGCACCAAAGGUAUGUAGCAGACUUCGUUUGAUCAUUCGUAUGUCGCCUGUAGUUGGCUCAUCUCUGUUACCUUUGCAGGUCGGUGAUGUCGACCGGUGCGUAGUGUACGUAUCACUGGCACCGGGGAUGGAAGAUCCUGUGGGAGAGGUCCCACCGGAGGAAGGCAGAGCCCGCCCCGUCCCGACCUCCGAGGAGAGGGUGGCGGGGAAAAGGCCAUUGCCGGUGGAUCCCCUGCCGACGCCGGAGCUGCCGGCAGACCUACCGGCGGAGAGCAGCCAAGCGCCGAAGCGUCGUCGGCUCGUGCGGAUCGUCGACGACGACGACGACGACGAGGAGGCUGCGCCGUCGUUGGUCCGACGGCCUCGGGGCCGCCCAGACGCUGCACCAGUCGCCACUGAUCGAGUGGCCAACGGCGCGGCUGCCCCGCAAGUUGCCGAGGUGGGGGCACAGGCGCCGACCGGCCGGGCGAGGAGGAGGUUCACCGCGACCCAUCGCCGGUCAGACCUGUAAGUGUUCAACUUACGUAUUUUGGACUCCCCCUUUUUUUUUUUUUUAAACUUUUGUUCCUGUAGUGCGGCAUCGGAUGUCGACCCUGGCCAAACUGCCGGCCAGGGAACGGGCGAGCCUGCCCGCGGUUCUCGGGAUGCGGCCCCCCAGACCACAGAACAGCCGACUGCUGCAGUCGCGCCUGGGAGCACCGAGGAGCUCCCGAGCGCGGCGCCGACUACAACAAGCAGCCCGACCAGGGCUGGGGAGGCUCCCCCAACUGACUCUUCGGAGAAGGGAAAGUCUCCGACCGCUCCUCCUGCCGGGGGGAGUGAAGUCCCCCCGCCGCCCCGAGCAGAAGCCUCUCCGGCUGCGGGCUCCCCAGGUCUGGUCCAAGGGACGUUGACGCCUGGGACCACCACCGGGGGUGACGCAGCCCAGGAGGAGGAAACCAGGGCGGCCUCCGACGACGAGGUAGAAGAGAUCGAGGGUCGUCCCCGUGAUGGCCGCCAACACGUGUAUGUGUGGCGCCAACGCGGGGAUCACUUUAUCGGUCAUGAGGAGCUUGCCGAGUCCGAAGAGGCCGCCAGGGUGGAGCGCGCGGCCAAGCGCCUUGUCGACGAAGUCAAGGUAAGCGUCGUUUUGAGCUGCCGCGCAUUCUUUUGCCUUGUCUUCUGCGCAUUGUUAUAUGCUUGCUUUGUAGGACGUUAUGAAAACGGCGAAGUACCGGAAACGGUGCUUUGACCAGAUAGAAGGCGUCAUGGCCGAGAACAAGGCCCUUGCCGCGGAGGUAGACCGGUUGCGGGCGGAGGUCGGAGAGAAGGUGGUCGAGAUGAGCACCGAGAAGGAGCGUCGUCUCGACCUCGCUCGUCGCCUGGCCGACCAGUACCGGCUGCAGGAAGGUUAGUCUCACGCUCCGAGCAGUUUCGCAGACUUGUAUAGUUUGCUUCGCUGACCAGUUUAGGAUUCACGCAGACUUGGAGGAGGAGGUGGCGAGCCUCCAACAAGAGAAGGAGCAGCUCGGCCAACAGCUCGCCAGUGCGCAGGAGUCCGGACGGCGAGCGGAAGAGGAAUUAAGUCGUAAAGACCGGGAGUUAGCUGGUAAUGGGUGCCGCCUUGUUGGUUGCUACCUGCCCCUUUGCUUGUUUGGUAUGCCGAAAGUAACGUUUCGUUUCGUUUGCAGUGCUCAAGGUGAACACCAAAAAGCACCUGGAUGAGCUGGUCAAGGACCGGGACUCCUGGAAGGUCAACUGUUGCAGGAUCUGGAAGGGAGUGUCCCCGGUCCUGGACCUGAUCAGUCCCGAGCUCCCGGAGAGCCAGCCCCGCGCGCCGCAGUUGACCCCGGUUCAAAAGGCGCAACGGGCGUGGGACUGGCUCCAGCAGUUUGUGAAGGACGCCGGGGAGUUUGCCGGCGCGCACGUCCUCAGCAUGGUACGCGCCCACUACCCCCUUGUCGACUUGAGCAGGCUGGAGAAGGGGUACCCGAAGGAAGUCGGCCCACAGGAAGCGGACGAACUUCGGGGUAGUCUGCUGGACUUGUCGUCGACAGUGAUCGGCGACAUCAACCUGUGCGGAACGGCCACUCCUCCAGACCAGCCGAGCUCAGAUAGGUCGGCCAGGGAGUUGUCGGGCGCGUCCUUUGCUGGAGAUGGGCGGUCGACGCCUGCGGUCUCGACCAGCCAGGCGCCGGUGGCCCCGACCCCUUCGUCCGGGCAGCAGGGCCAGGCGGGUGAUCAGCCCGAGCAGCUAGGCCAAUAAAGUAGUCUGUAGGAAUAGACUAGUAUCUGCCCGUCAGGGUAUUUAUUGUAAACUUUGUAUGUAAAGUUUGUAAUAAAGUUUUCUUUUUGUCAUGACUGUUGUUUUGAGCGCUGUAAAAAUAUCUGAGUGAUGUGUCAUCGUAUUUGUCUUGGUUGUCGCCAAGAGCAUCCAUUGCGGGAGUUUUGCCGAGUGCUGUGUAUGACAAGGUAUAGGCAAAAAAUAGAGAAUUAUAUUGUCACAAAUUAUAAGACACUUACAAAAGAAAGUCGCUAAAACUUUAUGGAUAGAAACGUCGCAGUUUGUCGAUGUGCCAAGAGUUAGGCACUCGUGUUCCGUCUGGGUAUGCCAAUCUGUAGGACGUAGGUCGUGUGACCUCGGUCACCACGAAGGGUCCUUCCCAGGGAGUAGAUAACUUGUGCAUUCCCUCCUGGCUUGUUUUCCAUCGAAGCACCAGAUCGCCGACCACGAAGGAACGGUCCUUGACGUUCCUGUUGUAGUAUCGCCUGACUGCCGUGAGAUAUUUUGCUGUUCGGAGACAUGAAACUAAACGCUUUUCCUCCAUGCAAUUGAUUUCGAGUUCUCUGGCGUUGUCGGCGGUCGACUGGUCGAAGUGCUCAAUUCUAGGGGAUCCGAAGUGUAUGUCGGACGGCAGAACCGCCUCUGCGCCGUACACCAUGAAAUAGGGAGACACCCCCGUGUUUCGACUGGUCUGAGUUCGAAGGCCCCAGACCACUGCCGGCAAUUCUUUCAUCCAUCGACCGGGUGCUCUGUCGUUCUCGGUGUACAAUCUUUUCUUUAGGGCGUCGACGAUCAUUCCAUUAGCACGUUCGACCUGACCGUUGGCACGUGGAUGUGCCACUGACACAUAUUUUAUGACUAUGCCUCUGUCAUCGCAGAAAUCCCAAAAGGUGGUGCCAGUAAACUGAGUGCCCAGGUCGGUGAUUAUGCUGUUCGGGAUGCCGAAUCUGUGUAUGAUUUGAUUGAGGAACUCCACAGCCUUCUCGGAAGUUGCCUUGACCAGGGGCAUGUAUUCAAUCCACUUGGAGAACUUGUCGAUUAACACGAAGACAAACUUGAAGUUGCCCGGGGCUGGUUUAAAUGGUCCGAUCAUGUCAAGCCCCCAGCAGGCAAAGGGCCAAGACGACGGGAUGGUUUGAAUUUCAUGGGCAGGUACGUGGGUCCUCUUAGCGAAAAACUGACAUCCUUCGCAACGCCGAACCAGUUUUUCUGCAUCGCUGACCGCGGUCGGCCAGUAAAAACCUGCUCGGAAAGCCUUUCCGACCAGCGUUCUAGAUGCGGCGUGGUUGCCGCAGGAUCCGGCGUGUAUGUCCUCCAAGAGCUUGAUACCAUCGUCUUGGGGUAUGCACUUGAGCAGUACCUCGGAGCUUGCGUUUUUCCGCAUGAGUUUUCCGUCGACCAGGAUGUAGUUCUUUGACCGUCGGAUGAGACGCUCGUUCUCUGUUUUGUCCUGAAAACCUGUCCCGUCUGAGAUGUAUUUGAUGAACGGGACACGCCAGUCGCGCCCGCCGGUUGUCGGAGUGGCGUCAUCUAUGAGCAUUGCCUCGUUGGGUUGCUUGUCGACCAGGGGGGAGCUUACGCUCGGCUCAUGGAUGUCCUGGACGAAAAUACCGCGCGGGAUUUGGGCCCGGGACGAGCCUAACUUUGACAACGCAUCUGCUGCUUGGUUCUUAUCCCGGACCACGUGGAUGUACUCUAUGCCAUAGAAGUUAGUUUCCCAUUUGCGAAUUUCUUUGCAGUAGAGAUCCAUCUUCUCGUGGGUUGCGUCCCACUCCUUGUUGAGCUGGUUGAUGACCAAAGCGGAGUCCCCGUAGACAUAGAGGCGCUUAACCCCCAGCUCAACGGCUAGUCGUACGCCAUGUAAGCAAGCUUCAUAUUCGGCGACAUUGUUUGACGCCGGGAAAAGGAUCCGAAGGACGUAGCGGAGUUUGUCCUUGUUUGGUGAUACGAACAAUAUCCCAGCGCCUGCACCGUUGAUGUUCAAGGACCCAUCAAAGAACAUUGACCAGUGGUCUGAGACAUCGGGAACGGACGGUUCGUUGAGAUCCGUCCAUUCGGCAAUGAAAUCGACCAGGGCUUGGGACUUGACAGUGGUGCGACUCUGAAACUCCAGGGAAAAUGGACAUAAUUCCAUUGCCCAUUUCACGAUUCUGCCAUUGGCGUCUUUAUUGCGCAGGAUGUCACCGAGGGGAAAGCUGGUUGUCACCAGGACUCGAUGGCCGUCGAAGUAGUGCUUCAGUUUUCUUGACGUUAUCAGGAUGGCGUAUAUAAGCUUCUGUAUUUGUGGGUACCUGGCCUUGGAUUCGUUUAAAACUUCGCUUAUGAAGUAAACGGGCCUCUGGACCUUGAAGACGUGACCUGGUUCAUCUCGCUCGACCACUAUUGCCGUGGAAACAACUCUGUCGGUUGCAGCAAUGUAAAGGAGCAGGUCUUCGUUGGGCUGAGGCGCUGUGAGAACAGGCGGUGAAGUGAGGAAGGUCUUAAGCUGAGUGAACGCAGCGUCGGCGUCUUCUAUCCAGGAGAAUUUUUCUGACGCUUUCAAUAGUUUGAAAAAGGGGAGGCCUUUUUCUCCCAGCCUUGAGAUGAAACGACUGAGAGCGGCCAUGCAUCCGGUUAGCUUCUGAAUAUCCUUGACGUUCUUCGGUGGUCGCAUGUCGAGUACGGCUUUGACUUUUGAAGGGUUUGGCCGUAUGCCGUCGCAACUGACGACGUUGCCGAGCAGUAGACCGGAAGGAACGCCGAAAAUGCAUUUCUUGGGGUUGAGCUUCCACUUGUACCUAUUGAGUGCCUUGAAGGUUCGGUCUAAGUUGUCGAUUAGGGUGCUCGCAUCCCUUGUUUUUACGACCACGUCGUCCACAUAGGCCUCGACGAGGUCGUCGCGAAUCUCGUCGUGGAGGCAUUGCUGGAUGGCCCUUUGAUAAGUGGCCCCGGCGUUUUUAAGUCCGAAAGACAUGGUAGUGUAACAGUAUGCGCCGAAAGGUGUGAUGAAGGAUGUUUUGAUCUGAUCUUCUUCUUUUAACGAGAUCUGGUGAUAACCAGAGUAGCAAUCUAGAAAGGAGAGGAGUUCGCAUCCGGCCGUUGAGUCGACCACCUCGUCGAUGCGAGGAAGACCAAAAGGAUCUUUAGGACAGUGUUUGUUGAGAUCGGUGUAAUCAACGCACAUUCUCCAUUCAUUAUUCUUUUUGCGUACAAGAACCGGAUUGGCGAGCCAAUCGGGAUGAUACACCUCUUUUAUGAAUCCGGCUGCUAGAAGCCGUGUUAUUUCUGUCCUAAUAGCCUCCUUUUUGUCACGAGCGAACCGUCGCAGUUUUUGCUUGAUUGGUCUUGCGGUCUUCGAGACGUUUAAGGAGUGCUCGAUCAGGUUCCGUGGGACGCCGGGCAUGUCUGCGGGUUUCCAUGCGAAAACGCUCACGUUGUCCCUUAGAAACCUGACGAGCGCGUCUUCCUAUUUUGGAUCCAGGUUAGCCCCGAUGAGGGCUGUCUUCUCGGGGUUGCCCUCGACCAGCUGCACUUCUUUGUACUCCUUGGAUUUCGAAUUCUUUCUGGCUGUCUCCUGCUCAGGUAAUCGGAGCUGGUCGGGGGGCAGCUGUGCGGCUUGGUUUGCUGUUUCCGCCAUGCGGAUUGAGAGGUCAAUUGCCUCGGUGAUCUUGAAACUUUCUUCUUCGCAGGUGUACGCAGUGUAGACGUUGCCUCUGACGGUCAGGACACCCUUCUCCGUGGGCAUCUUAAGCACUAGGUACGAGUAGUGCGGGACUGCCAUGAACUUUGUCAGCGAUGGGCGGCCCAGUAUGGCGUGGUAGGUCCCGUCGAAGUCCGCGACUACGAAGUUGAUGAACUCCGUCCGGAAGUGAUCGGGUGUGCCGAAUUGGACAGGCAAUGUUAUCUGUCCGAGGGGCACCGAACUUUGACCUGGCAAAACCCCCCAGAAUUGGGCGUCGUAAGGUUUUAGUUGGGCCGGUGAUAUCUUGAGGGCGGGCAGGCUGUUGCGGAAGAGGAUGUCAAUGGAGCUUCCCCCGUCCACGAGCACGCGCUCGAAUCUGAUGCUGUUGAUGCAAGGAUCGAGAAUUAGUGGGAAACGACCCGGCUCCGGGAUAGCGGCCCACUGGUCCUUCCUGCUGAACGCGAUCUCCCUAUGGGACCAGGCGGGAAAUUUCAGAUCUGCGAUCAGCCCGUCCGUGCUGUCUAUGUUGAGGCAGGCUCUCUUCAACAGCUUUCUUUCUCGCUUGGACUCAGUGGAGACCUUGCCCCCGAAAAUGGAGUGGACCACGUCGGUGGGGCUGACGUAUUGGUGUCGGGGGUCCCUGUCUUGGUCCUCGUCCUCAUCUUCGUGGUCGUGCCCGUCGCGUUUGUUACUUUUCUUGGCGGUGUCUUCUUGGGCGGCCCGCCGUGUAUAGAUAUUUUUGAGGACGCGGCACUCUUCCAUGGUAUGGUUAGACUUUGGAUGUAGCUGGCACGGUCCCUUCAACGUUUUGUUGUAGUCGUCUUGGUAGUCCCGUCGUCCAUUGGGACGUUUGACCGUGUUUACUUCGUGGUCGUAUUCGCGAGGGCGCUUUCCUCUGAAGUCGUCGCGGCUGUCGCGCCGCCGAUCCCAACCCUCUCGGUGAUCGCGGUUGUCGGAGCGACGGUGAUUUCUGUUGUCGUAGCGGCCGCGACCGUCGUCUCGCCGGGAGGGCUGGUCGGUGCCUCUCGCAUCGUCUCGGAUUAGUUUUUCUGCGUCAUCAGCAUCGGCAUAAUUUUUAGCCGUGGCGAGGAGCUCUGCUACUGUUGAUGGACGUUUACGCAACAGCUUGUUCCUCAGCGCUUCAUGGAAACGUAAGCCCUUGAUAAAGGCUGAUAUGGCCUCGUCAUGAGAAAUCUUCGGGAUUUUGAGACGCAUAUCCGAGAAUCGUCGGAUGUAAUCACGCAGAGGUUCAUUCUUCCUGUCUCUUAUCCUUUCAAGGUCAUACUUGUUUCCGGGCUGUUCGCAUGUGGCGAUGAAGUUGUCAAUGAAAGCCUGUCGUAGUUCUUCCCAAGAGUCGAAGGAGUCCUCGGGCAAGCCGAGAAGCCACUGAUGACCAGCCUGGUCGAGGACUACGGGGAAGUAGUUAGCCAUGACGUGCUCAUCUCCUGCCGCUGAUCGGACGGCGAUUUCGUAGAGGGUGAUCCAGUUCUCUGGAUUUUCCUUGCCGUCGUAUUUUUUAAGUUUUUCGAGCUUGAAAUUUCUGGGCCACACGACCUGGCGGAGGUGUGAGGAGAACUGCCUUAGGCCCGGGGGACCAUGGGUCGCAUCGUACUCGAUGCGGCGUAGGUUUUCGUGGACUGCUCUCUCUGCGGCGCGCCUGUUGAUGCGGUCCCGGGCAUCUUUGGGAGGGAUGUUGUGGCGGAGAUCCCUGUGUUGAUCUUCUUCUUCCUGGCCGCGUACGCGGUUCUGCUGGCGGCGGCCAUCGGCGUCUCGACCACCAUCGUCGCGCCGUGAGUCCCCUCGACGGUUGUCGGGGGAGCGCCUGCGGCGACGCCUGCUGGGCGAGGCCCGGCUACGAUGAGUCUGGUCGGAGGCGGCUUCCGUAUAAGGGACGUCCUGGACUCUCUUAAGCAGAGUUGCUGUCUGUCCCAUCGCGGCGAUCAGGUGUGCUCGGAUACUGGUCCGGACCCCCUGGCAUUCUGGUGUGUCAGGAAGCCGAUCCAGGUUGGCCAUGGCAACAGCCACGUUGGCGCUUGGCGUUUUGUAGACCGGCUGGUCCCCGACCAUGUCAAAGGCAUCGUUGAGGUUACCCGGUGGCGUCUGUUGUUGCUCGUCCGCACGCCGUCGGGCGCGAUCGGCGUUACGCUGUUCGCGGAGUUGCCUCUGGUCGUCUGUUUCUCCGUCAACAACCGGUUCGUCGGCGCUGACAUUGAAUACAAUAUCCCCUCGCCGGGGGGGGGGAAUAUCGGGAACCGGUCGAAACCCGGAGGGUGUGAAGGGAAAUCCAGGUCGUAGCCCUCGUCUUCGGUGUUUAUAACCUCGGUGGGGACGGAGCCGGUGCUUGAGUUGGUGCUGGAAACCUGGCCGUUCCGUAGCUCUCGGAUUGUCACCAUGUUGACAUGGUGACGAUUGUUCCUUGUCGGCGACCAGCCCGCUUUGCUGAAAACGGAUUGAACAUGCUGUGAGUAGACAGAGGCCGAGUUAUUCAGGCCGCAAGGAUGGUCUCCCUUUUUGAGCUCGACGGAUCGGCCUGAGGAGGUUGAGGUUAUCGCCAGGGACGUUCCCAGCCGUUCGUGUGUGGUGACACGAGUUGGCCGGCGGGAUUUCGAAAAAUCCGCUUGAGUGGCUUGGUCGGGCCGGCGCAGAAUUCCAUCUAUUAGUUGGGAGACUUCGAGCAGCUUGGAGUCGGCGCGAUCGAGCGCUUGGAGGAGGUCCGAGCAGUCGAUCUCCUUUCCCUUGUAGAGUGGGAACGGUGGCCGGGAGUUUGGUGCCGUCAUGCGUGUGGUCGGAGACGGCGUGAUCUCAGAUUGGAUCUGGAUCUCUUUCGGGACCGUGGUCGGGAAGCCGCCGCUGCACGUCGUCCACGUGAUCUGGCCGACGGUAAACGUGAGGCCUUCGGGCACGGUCGCGGAAGCUGGGAUCGUGACCAUCUUGUUCGCCGGAAAAGUUGCACGCACACCCCCUACCUGGCGCGCCACUGUCGACGAAAGCUGGUCGGCAGUCUACCUUGGGGUAUACCCACGGUAGUAGUUUAUCGGUAGACGGUGCGCAAACUACGAACUCGAUGGUGACGCAAGACACGGACAAGCUUUUUAUCCAGGUUCGGCCGCCGAGUUGGCGUAAUACCUACGUCCUGCGUCUGGUUGUAUUGGAUUGUGUUUAGAGAUAAUCUACCCUAGGGGGUCCCCUUGCCCCUCCUUAUAUAGUCUGGAGGGCAGGGUUACAGAUCUAGAAACUAAUCCUAGCCGGUUACAAUUGCCAUAGAUAAUUCGAUAUCAAUUCCUAUUCUAACCGACUAGAAUCCUGCUUGAUCUCCACGUCCUGUUUCCUUGCGCGAAACUCGGGCUAUCGGAUCAAGCCUUGAACUCGUCUCGUAGUGGGCCAAGCUUCCUAGCUGAAGUCUAGCCGUAAGGGUAUAGGGGUUUAUACCCCCACACCGUGCGUUCUCCUCCCCUUUAUGCCCGCGCCUCCGUGUACGGCCCGCCCAUAGCUCCUUCGACGGCGCCGCCUAGGAACGCGGAGAAAAUAUGACAAAGGAACGGCCAAAAAUAAAAAGAAAGACCUUUCUUUUGAAAAAACAAACAAAUAAAAGGAAUGCAACACGAGGACUUCCCAGGAGGUCACCCAUCCUAGUACUACUCUCGCCCAAGCACGCUUAACUUCGGAGUUCUGAUGGGAUCCGGUGCUUUAGUGCUGGUAUGAUCGCAUCCGACAUACCGUGCGUUCUCCUCCCCUUUAUGCCCGCGCCUCCGUGUACGGCCCGCCCAUAGCUCCUUCGACGGCGCCGCCUAGGAACGCGGAGAAAAUAUGACAAAGGAACGGCCAAAAAUAAAAAGAAAGACCUUUCUUUUGAAAAAACAAACAAAAAAAAGGAAUGCAACACGAGGACUUCCCAGGAGGUCACCCAUCCUAGUACUACUCUCGCCCAAGCACGCUUAACUUCGGAGUUCUGAUGGGAUCCGGUGCUUUAGUGCUGGUAUGAUCGCAUCCGACAUACCGUGCGUUCUCCUCCCCUUUAUGCCCGCGCCUCCGUGUACGGCCCGCCCAUAGCUCUUUCGACGGCGCCGCCUAGGAACGCGGAGAAAAUAUGACAAAGGAACGGCCAAAAAUAAAAGAAAGACCUUUCUUUUGAAAAAACAAACGCCUCCGUGUACGGCCCGCCCAUAGCUCCUCCGACGGCCCCGCCUAGGAACGCGAAGAAAAUAUGACAAAGGAACGCCCAAAAAUAAAAAGAAAGACCUUUCUUUUGAAAAAACAAACAUUAAAAAGGAAUGCAACACGAGGACUUCCCAGGAGGUCACCAAUCCUAGUACUACUCUCGCCCAAGCACGCUUAACUUCGAAGUUCUGAUGGGAUCCGGUGCUUUAGUGCUGGUAUGAUCGCAUCCGACAUACCGUGCGUUCUCCUCCCCUUUAUGCCCGCGCCUCCGUGUACGGCCCGCCCAUAGCUCCUUCGACGGCGCCGCCUAGGAACGCGGAGAAAAUAUGACAAAGGAACGGCCAAAAAUAAAAAGAAAGACCUUUCUUUUGAAAAAACAAACAAAAAAAAGGAAUGCAACACGAGGACUUCCCAGGAGGUCACCCAUCCUAGUACUACUCUCGCCCAAGCACGCUUAACUUCGGAGUUCUGAUGGGAUCCGGUGCUUUAGUGCUGGUAUGAUCGCAUCCGACAUACCGUGCGUUCUCCUCCCCUUUAUGCCCGCGCCUCCGUGUACGGCCCGCCCAUAGCUCCUUCGACGGCGCCGCCUAGGAACGCGGAGAAAAUAUGACAAAGGAACGGCCAAAAAUAAAAAGAAAGACCUUUCUUUUGAAAAAACAAACAAAAAAAAGGAAUGCAACACGAGGACUUCCCAGGAGGUCACCCAUCCUAGUACUACUCUCGCCCAAGCACGCUUAACUUCGGAGUUCUGAUGGGAUCCGGUGCUUUAGUGCUGGUAUGAUCGCAUCCGACAUACCGUGCGUUCUCCUCCCCUUUAUGCCCGCGCCUCCGUGUACGGCCCGCCCAUAGCUCCUUCGACGGCGCCGCCUAGGAACGCGGAGAAAAUAUGACAAAGGAACGGCCAAAAAUAAAAAGAAAGACCUUUCUUUUGAAAAAAAAAACAAAAAAAAGGAAUGCAACACGAGGACUUCCCAGGAGGUCACCCAUCCUAGUACUACUCUCGCCCAAGCACGCUUAACUUCGGAGUUCUGAUGGGAUCCGGUGCUUUAUUGCUGGUAUGAUCGCAUCCGACAUACCGUGCGUUCUCCUCCCCUUUAUGCCCGCACCUCCGUGUACGGCCCGCCCAUAGCUCCUUCGACGGCGCCGCCUAGGAACGCGGAGAAAAUAUGACAAAGGAACGGCCAAAAAUAAAAAGAAAGACCUUUCUUUUGAAAAAACAAACAAAAAAAAGGAAUGCAACACGAGGACUUCCCAGGAGGUCACCCAUCCUAGUACUACUCUCGCCCAAGCACGCUUAACUUCGGAGUUCUGAUGGGAUCCGGUGCUUUAGUGCUGGUAUGAUCGCAUCCGACAUACCGUGCGUUCUCCUCCCCUUUAUGCCCGCGCCUCCGUGUACGGCCCGCCCAUAGCUCCUUCGACGGCGCCGCCUAGGAACGCGGAGAAAAUAUGACAAAGGAACGGCCAAAAAUAAAAAGAAAGACCUUUCUUUUGAAAAAACAAACAAAUAAAAGGAAUGCAACACGAGGACUUCCCAGGAGGUCACCCAUCCUAGUACUACUCUCGCCCAAGCACGCUUAACUUCGAAGUUCUGAUGGGAUCCGGUGCUUUAGUGCUGGUAUGAUCGUAUCCGACAUACCGUGCGUUCUCCUCCCCUGAAUGCCCGCGCCUCCGUGUACGGCCCGCCCAGAGCUCUUUAGAUGGGACUUCCGAUGGAAUCGGAGACAAUAGGACAAAGGAACGGCCAAAAAUAAAAAGAAAGACCUUUCUUCCGAAAAAACAAACGCCUCCGUGUACGGCCCGCCCAUAGCUCCUUCGACGGCGCCGCCUAGGAACGCGGAGAAAAUAUGACAAAGGAACGGCCAAAAAUAAAAAGAAAGACCUUUCUUUUGAAAAAACAAACAAAAAAAAGGAAUGCAACACGAGGACUUCCCAGGAGGUCACCCAUCCUAGUACUACUCUCGCCCAAGCACGCUUAACUUCGGAGUUCUGAUGGGAUCCGGUGCUUUAGUGCUGGUAUGAUCGCAUCCGACAUACCGUGCGUUCUCCUCCCCUUUAUGCCCGCGCCUCCGUGUACGGCCCGCCCAUAGCUCCUUCGACGGCGCCGCCUAGGAACGCGGAGAAAAUAUGACAAAGGAACGGCCAAAAAUAAAAAGAAAGACCUUUCUUUUGAAAAAACAAACGCCUCCGUGUACGGCCCGCCCAUAGCUCCUUCGACGGCGCCGCCUAGGAACGCGGAGAAAAUAUGACAAAGGAACGGCCAAAAAUAAAAAGAAAGACCUUUCUUUUGAAAAAACAAACAAAAAAAAGGAAUGCAACACGAGGACUUCCCAGGAGGUCACCCAUCCUAGUACUACUCUCGCCCAAGCACGCUUAACUUCGGAGUUCUGAUGGGAUCCGGUGCUUUAGUGCUGGUAUGAUCGCAUCCGACAUACCGUGCGUUCUCCUCCCCUUUAUGCCCGCGCCUCCGUGUACGGCCCGCCCAUAGCUCCUUCGACGGCGCCGCCUAGGAACGCGGAGAAAAUAUGACAAAGGAACGGCCAAAAAUAAAAAGAAAGACCUUUCUUUUGAAAAAACAAACAAAAAAAAGGAAUGCAACACGAGGACUUCCCAGGAGGUCACCCAUCCUAGUACUACUCUCGCCCAAGCACGCUUAACUUCGGAGUUCUGAUGGGAUCCGGUGCUUUAGUGCUGGUAUGAUCGCAUCCGACAUACCGUGCGUUCUCCUCCCCUUUAUGCCCGCGCCUCCGUGUACGGCCCGCCCAUAGCUCCUUCGACGGCGCCGCCUAGGAACGCGGAGAAAAUAUGACAAAGGAACGGCCAAAAAUAAAAAGAAAGACCUUUCUUUUGAAAAAACAAACAAAUAAAAGGAAUGCAACACGAGGACUUCCCAGGAGGUCACCCAUCCUAGUACUACUCUCGCCCAAGCACGCUUAACUUCGGAGUUCUGAUGGGAUCCGGUGCUUUAGUGCUGGUAUGAUCGCAUCCGACAUACCGUGCGUUCUCCUCCCCUUUAUGCCCGCGCCUCCGUGUACGGCCCGCCCAUAGCUCCUUCGACGGCGCCGCCUAGGAACGCGGAGAAAAUAUGACAAAGGAACGGCCAAAAAUAAAAAGAAAGACCUUUCUUUUGAAAAAACAAACAAAUAAAAGGAAUGCAACACGAGGACUUCCCAGGAGGUCACCCAUCCUAGUACUACUCUCGCCCAAGCACGCUUAACUUCGGAGCUCUGAUGGGAUCCGGUGCUUUAGUGCUGGUAUGAUCGCAUCCGACAUACCGUGCGUUCUCCUCCCCUUUAUGCCCGCGCCUCCGUGUACGGCCCGCCCAUAGCUCCUUCGACGGCGCCGCCU
rnacentral:lncRNA from 1 species